UUCUUGAACCAAGUGUUAGCUAUGAUUGAGUUAUUCUCUGUGCAAAAUUCUACCAGAGGGCUUCCUCUUUCAUUUCUUACCCCCAAUCCAUAUUCACCUACUAUGUUUCCUUCUCUCCCUUUCCCUACUGUCGAAUUCCAGUCACUCAAGACUAUUAAAUUUUCGUCUCGCUUCACUACCUGAAUAAUUUCUUUUACCUCAUCAUACAUUUCAUCAACUUCUUCAUCAUAUGCAGAGCUAGUUGGCAUAUAAACUUGUACUACUGUAGUGGGCGUGUGCUUCAUGUCUAUCUUGGCCACAAUAAUGCAUUCACUAUGCUGUUUGUAGUAGCUUACCCACACUCUUGUUUUUUUAUUCAUUAUUAAACCUACCCCCGCAUUACCCCUAUUUGAUUUUGUAUCUACAACCCUGUAUUCACCUGACCAAAAGCCUUGUUCCUCCUUCCACCGAACUUCACUAAUUCCCACUAUAUCUAACUUUAACCUAUCCAGUUCCCUUUUUAAAUUUUCUAACCUACCUGCCCAAUAAAGGGAUCUGACAUUCCACGCUCCGAUCCUUAGAACACCAGUUUUUUUUUCUCCUGAUAACGACGGGGGCAGCAGACUAGCAGUGUUAAAUCAUGGCCUCGGUGUUUCACAGCACACAGGUGCCAGGCUUUCCCCUGUUGUGAUGCUAAAUGUUAUCUAUGUGGCAUGCGUGGUCAUAUUCAAUCUGUCUGGUUGCAAAAAUGCAAUUCCAACAUGCACUUUGCAUUUCCUCCCAAGUCUCAGGCAAUGAAUAUUAAUGCAAUUUUUUCAAAGCCAAGCAAUAGCUCUAGUGUUACACAGUGCAUGUCAAAUGCAACAGUGAAGGAGUCACACAAUUCUUGCAUUCAGAGUCAGGCCAAUAAAUUAUUUCUCACUCUGCAGAUUGCCAAUUACAAAAUAUCCAUACAGGUAGACACCAGUGACUUUGUUGAACAGACGCACUUACGAACUGUUAGGCAGGCCUAAGCUACAUAAAUCACACAUGACUCUUUCUAGUUAUGGUGGACAUGACAUUCCUCUUCUCAGUGUUUGCAGCCAACCUGCCACCUUUUGUAACAUUAUCAAGACAGUUUCAUUCACAGUUUUGUGCUCAUAAGAAAGUGGGCAUGUUUUGGCAUUGACUCUUUUCAUCCAUUUGGUUUUUACAUUCAAGAUAUGAUCCCAUUUGAAUUCCUCUGUGCUUAAGGACAAUAUAGUUGAACUGUGUAAUGAAUUCUGUGACUUUUUCGAGAUGACAUAGGCAAAGUUAAUAAUUUUGAAGGUCACAUUAUCAGAAAAGACGAUGUACAACCAUGGUUUUGCUGUGAAUGGCCCAUACCUCACACUAUCCUAGAUAGCACAGGAACACUUAUCUUGGCAGGACAAUGGUGUGAUUUACUUAAGGGGCUCUGGAAAGGCUCAAAAUCAUGAAAAGUUCAAUUUUUACUUUUUUGCGUUUUCUGAAUCUGCAGACUAUUACCUUUUAAUAGAUAUAUAAUUUAUUCAAUUCUGAAGACUACGACUAUUUUUAAAUUUUUUUUGAAAUGUGUUCUACAUGGGCGUGACCCACUGUGGCGCUGUUAAACUGCUGUCAAAUGGUGUUAUUAUUAACGUCCGUGUUCAUCAGGUACAUUUUAGUGAUGUGAGAUAAAGUAUGUGUUGUGGCUAACCUGUGAUGGUUCAAUAUAUAUCGCUGGUGUUAUUGUCGAUUGUUUCAUGUUUAUUUACUCUGUCGUUAUCUCGAAAAUAUUCGUAAUUAAUUCUGUUUCUUGAGUCUCUAUUUUGUUGAAGUAUAAUAAUGAGUAAAAGUAAAGUUAUUAGAAAUCCUCUGAAGGCUUUUAAGAAAAGGAGAAAUGUUGGAAAGCCAAAGGUAUGUGUUAUUACUGUAAACAAUAAAGACGAUAACCAAGUGAGUGAACCUAACCUCUCAAGUACACCUGCCCAUAGCAGUCAAAGUGGGAAAGAAAAUACUUCACAGAAGAAGCUUGGUUCAAUGAGUGAAAACUAUGAAUGUUUUAUGGGCGAAUCGGAUGUGAAUGAAAUAUUUGAUAUGUCGGUUCUCAAAGGAAUUUUUUCAAACUGUGUAAGAUGUAUUCAUUGUAGUGAAGUUGGUCUGGAACUCUCCAUAAUAAAGCACGUAGGACUUGCUAGUGAAAUACAACUGAAAUGUGGUAAGUGUUCAUACAUGACCACCUUUUGGAACAGUGUUGCAGUAACUGCAACUGAAGAAAAUGGUAGCAAAAUCUACGAACACAACAACGAGCGAUGCUUGCUUUAGACAAGGAACGCCUUCGGGCUGCAGACAGGGCUGUAAAGAGUCUAGAAAUACAAGCAAGAGUAAACAGGAGGAGGAACAAGAGGAAGCUGGAGGAGGAGUUUGCAGAGGAUGAAGAUAAUCCAUCCUAUGGACCUGGAAUGCACUAAAAAGUUAAUCCAAUCUUUGUCGCUCGAUUCCCAAAACAUUUAUUUUCUCAUACUAAUUACAUGUUUUCUAAGGAUCUUCCAAACAUAUUUGUUUCAAACUUUCAGUAAAUGUUACACAGUAUCUUCUCCAUAAUUUAACACAGCCUUUUUCCAAAAAACUGUAUAUUUUUGAAUAUAUAAAUAAAAAAAUUGCAAAAAAAAUGUUGUGAAUUUUCAUUACAAUUGAAAAAAAAAUCAUCUUUAAUAACUGAACUAAAUUUUUGUAAAAUCCCUGUGUUAAGUUGUAGCCCAUAUUCCAAUAAAUAAUCUGUAAAAAGUUCAACUUCCUACCUCAAAUACUUUGCGAGGAAAGAUGUAAUUUAUAAGCGUUAUUUUAACAUUGCAAGUAUAGGGCGUUCCGGAGCCCCUUAAUAGUAGUGAUGGGCUAAACUGCGAUUUUCCGAUAUCAGUGAUUUCUGUGAAUGCUACUUUUCAGUAUCUGUUAUUCUUAACUGUGAUUUGUCGCAGUUACGGAACCUAGGUCCUGUAUCCCUCCGCCACUGCUACUUCCGCGAUUUCUGUGAUUUCUGUGACUUCUGUGACUCCUGCGAUUUCUGCAACUUACCACCGUAUGAAAAAGUUACAUCUGUCCAAACAGAAAAUUGCAUCUCAACAAAUCUGUCAUUGGUACGCGAACUACAUUUUAUUCACUCAGUAAAGUGAUAACUCAAAAUAUCAUUGUCAACAGAUCUGGAGAAAUUGCCACUGCGUCUUUAGACCGUUUUCGUCAGACGAGAGACACAGUUCUGACUCUGAUUACUGGUUGCUGUACGUAUCUAUCCACAUCAAGGCUGUUGAGAGACACUCGUGAAGAUUCAAGACAGCUCUUAGAAGAUUUUGCAGUUUAAAAGUGAUAUAAUUGUGAAAUAAGUGUGCAGAUGAGUGAUUAAACUGUGUUUUAUUGAAGUUGGUGUGCGAUUUUAAAGGAAUAAUAAAUGUUAA